rnacentral:rRNA from 1 species
GAUGAACGCUGGCGGCGUGCCUAAUACAUGCAAGUCGAGCGAAUGGAUUGAGAGCUUGCUCUUAUGAAGUUAGCGGCGGACGGGUGAGUAACACGUGGGUAACCUGCCCAUAAGACUGGGAUAACUCCGGGAAACCGGGGCUAAUACCGGAUAACAUUUUGAACCGCAUGGUUCGAAAUUGAAAGGCGGCUUCGGCGGUCCGUUAUGGAUGGACCGGCGUAGCGUGAACUAGUUGGUGAGGUAACGGCUCACCAAGGCAACGAUGCGUCGCCGACCUGAGAGGGUGAUCGGCCACACUGGGACUGAGACACGGCCCAGACUCCUACGGGAGGCAGCAGUAGGGAAUCUUCCGCAAUGGACGAAAGUCUGACGGAGCAACGCCGCGUGAGUGAUGAAGGCUUUCGGGUCGUAAAACUCUGUUGUUAGGGAAGAACAAGUGCUAAUUGAAUAAGCUGGCACCUUGACGGUACCUAACCAGAAAGCCACGGCUAACUACGUGCCAGCAGCCGCCGUAA